rnacentral:rRNA from 1 species
AGUGAACGCUAGCGGUAGGCCUAACACAUGCAAGUCGAACGGCAGCACAGUAAGAGCUUGCUCUUACGGGUGGCGAGUGGCGGACGGGUGAGGAAUACAUCGGAAUCUACUUUUUCGUGGGGGAUAACGUAGGGAAACUUACGCUAAUACCGCAUACGACCUACGGGUGAAAGCAGGGGAUCUUCGGACCUUGCGCGAUUGAAUGAGCCGAUGUCGGAUUAGCUAGUUGGCGGGGUAAAGGCCCACCAAGGCGACGAUCCGUAGCUGGUCUGAGAGGAUGAUCACCCACACUGGAACUGAGACACGGUCCAGACUCCUACGGGAGGCAGCAGUGGGGAAUAUUGGACAAUGGGCGCAAGCCUGAUCCAGCCAUACCGCGUGGGUGAAGAAGGCCUUCGGGUUGUAAAGCCCUUUUGUUGGGAAAGAAAAGCAGCAGGUUAAUACCCCGCUGUUCUGACGGUACCCAAAGAAUAAGCACCGGCUAACUUCGUG